rnacentral:rRNA from 1 species
UUCCGGUUGAUCCCGCCGGACCUGACUGCUAUCGGAUUGAUACUAAGCCAUGCGAGUCAUUGUAGCAAUACAAGGCAGACGGCUCAGUAACGCGUAGUCAACCUAACCUAUGGACGGGAAUAACCUCGGGAAACUGAGAAUAAUGCCCGAUAGAACACUAUAUCUGGAAUGGUUUGUGUUCCAAAUGAUUUAUCGCCGUAGGAUGGGACUGCGGCCUAUCAGUUUGUUGGUGAGGUAAUGGCCCACCAAGACUAUUACAGGUACGGGCUCUGAGAGGAGUAGCCCGGAGAUGGGUACUGAGACACGGACCCAGGCCCUAUGGGGCGCAGCAGGCGAGAAAACUUUGCAAUGUGCGAAAGCACGACAAGGUUAAUCCGAGUGGUUUCUGCUAAAGAAACCUUUUGUCGGUCCUAGAAACACCGAUGAAUAAGGGGUGGGCAAGUUCUGGUGUCAGCCGCCGCGGUAAUACCAGC